AUGCACGCUGGCGGCGUGCCUAAUCCCUGCAAGUCGCGCGAACAGACGAGGAGCUUGCUCCUCUGACGUUAGCGGCGGACGGGUGAGUAACACGUGGAUAACCUACCUAUAAGACUGGGAUAACUUCGGGAAACCGGAGCUAAUACCGGAUAAUAUAUUGAACCGCAUGGUUCAAUAGUGAAAGACGGUUUUGCUGUCACUUAUAGAUGGAUCCGCGCCGCAUUAGCUAGUUGGUAAGGUAACGGCUUACCAAGGCAACGAUGCGUAGCCGACCUGAGAGGGUGAUCGCCCACCCUGGAACUGAGACACGGUCCCGACUCCUACGGUAGGCAGCAGUAGGGAAUCUUCCGCAAUGGGCGAAAACCUGACGGAGCAACGCCGCGUGAGUAAUGAAGGUCUUCGGAUCGUAAAACUCUGUUAUUAGGGAAGAACAAAUGUGUAAGUAACUAUGCACGUCUUGACGGUACCUAAUCAAAAAGCCACGGCUAACUACGUG
rnacentral:rRNA from 1 species